AAAAAAAGAAACAGAGUUGGAUUUGGACAAUCAAAACGGAGGCAACGAACAGAUCUAAUAGUACCGUCGUAUACAAGGCCCACUACUUUGCAACACAACCACCCGAGCGAGAUCAAUGACCAUAGUAUACGAAAAUCGUAGAUCUGAAAAUCUUUUAGAAGCAAACAAUCGUUAAUCCGGUUUGAUGGAUACAGAAAAAAGGCGGCUAGUGAAGGGUGAUAGCUCAGACAACCCCUCAGCAACCUGAUUCCGCAUAAGCCAUCACAGAUCCAAAACUGGAUAUGCUGUUAACCAUCGAACACCCACUGGAAACACACCAAUCCACAGCGUCUUCCGCCGCAGCUACAGCGUCUUCCGAGCAGUGUUAGUUUAUAAUUGAGUUUGGUCAUGCAUUUAAUUAGAUAUGCGUAAAUAGAACAACACGCGAGAUGUUAUAACCGUUACUUGUUAGAUAAGUUGUGUUGUUUCACUGAAAAGACACAAAUAGGAAGUGACACAACUCUUCAUGUGUUGUGUCUAUUUGUUUUCUAUUUAAACUCAUUGUAUCAUCAUGUAAAUAACCAACAAGUUUCAGUUCAAUAAAGAGUUAUUUUUGUUCUUGUCUUCUUUACAAGAGAAGAGACAAGUGUCUCUGUUUCUCUUUUUAUCACAAUAUUCCAACAUGGUAUCAAAGCUUUAUUGAUUCGAGG
rnacentral:sRNA from 1 species